GGAAUAAUAGUUUAUAUAAAACAAUAUAAUUGCAUUAUAUUAAAUCUGAAUUAGAUUAUUUCU
rnacentral:tRNA from 1 species